rnacentral:rRNA from 1 species
AGCGAACGCUGGCGGCAGGCCUAACACAUGCAAGUCGAACGGAUCCUUCGGACUUAGUGGCGGACGGGUGAGUAACACGUGGGAACGUACCUUUUGGUUCGGAACAACUCAGGGAAACUUGAGCUAAUACCGGAUGAGCCCUUAGGGGGAAAGAUUUAUCGCCGAAAGAGCGGCCCGCGUUAGAUUAGCUAGUUGGUGAGGUAAAGGCUCACCAAGGCUACGAUCUAUAGCUGGUCUGAGAGGAUGAUCAGCCACACUGGGACUGAGACACGGCCCAGACUCCUACGGGAGGCAGCAGUGGGGAAUCUUGCGCAAUGGGCGAAAGCCUGACGCAGCCAUGCCGCGUGAAUGAUGAAGGUCUUAGGAUUGUAAAAUUCUUUUACCAGGGACGAUAAUGACGGUACCUGGAGAAAAAGCCCCGGCUAACUUCGUGCCAGCCGCCGCAGUAACAC